rnacentral:rRNA from 1 species
UUUUGGCGUUUUUUCACUCGGUCGUGAGAUGUUGGGUUAAUUCCCGCAACGAGCGCAACCCUUUUCUUUUGUUGCCAGCAGGUAAUGGUGGGAAUUCAAGGGAGACUGCCGGUGACAAACCGGAGGAAGGUGGGGAGGACGUCAAGUCUUCAUGGCCCUUACGCCCAGGGUUACACACGUGUUACAAUGGUGGGUACAAAGGGUUGCAACCUGGGGAUAGUAAGCGAUUCCCAAAAACCGAUUUGUAUUCCGGAUGGGAUUCUCCAAUUGGAUUCCGGAAAUUGGGAAUCGUUGGUAAUCCCAAAUCACAAUGUUGCGGUGAAUACGUUCCCGGGCCUUGUACACACCGCCCGUCACACCAUGGGAGUGGGUUGCACCAGAAGCAGGUAGCUUAACCCUCGGGAGGGCGCUUACCCCC